UGCCUGCCCGGUGAUAGAAAUUAAACGGCUGCGGUACUUUGACCGUGCAAAGGUAGCAUAAUAAUUAGCCUGUUAAUUUCAGGCUGGAAUCAAUGGCAAGACGAAGGAAAGACUGUCUCUUUUUAUUGUUUUAUAAAUUUUCUUUUUGGUGAAGAGACCAGAAUGAGUAAGUGGGACGAGAAGACCCUAUUGAGUUUUAGUUGUUUUAGAAGAUAUUAAUUUUCUAGAAUAACUUUGGUUGGGGCAACUACUAAUUAAAUUAGAUAUUAGUGAAGAAAAAGUGAAUUAAGUCUAAAAUAAUCCAAAAAUUUGUUUUGAAGAUAAAAAAAAUUACCUUAGGGAUAACAGCGUAAUUCUUUUUGAGAGUACAUAUUGACAAAAGAGUUUGCGACCUCGAUGUUGGAUCAAGUUUUCCUGAAGGUGUAGCAGCUUUCAAAGGUUGGUUUGUUCAACCAUAAAAAUCUU
rnacentral:rRNA from 1 species